GGUGUUGCGUGGGCAGAGAAGAAGCCUUACAUGGCAGCAAGGGGCUUAUCUCUGAUAGCCAAGGAUGACUUGCCUGUGUCAUACUUCAAGGCUUGGCAACAUGAUGCAUGAGCCUUUGUUGUAGUCUCAUAGGCAGUCUCCUUGGCUAGCCUGAGUGGCUCUUGCGGCUCAUGCCAGGCUG